rnacentral:rRNA from 1 species
GUCUUUUUUGUAAUUUUUAAAAAGUCUAACCUGCCCACUGAAAAUUUUAAAUGGCCGCAGUAUUUUAACUGUGCAAAGGUAGCAUAAUCAUUAGUCUUUUAAUUGAAGGCUGGUAUGAAUGGUUGGACGAGGUAUUAACUGUUUCAUAUAAAUUUAUAUUAGAAUUUUAUUUUUUAGUCAAAAAGCUAAAAUAAUUUUAAAAGACGAGAAGACCCUAUAAAUCUUUAUAUUUAUUAAUUUAUAAUUUUAUAGAUUUUUUUUAUUAUAAAUUUAUAUAAUAUUUUAUUGGGGUGAUAUUGAAAUUUAAUAAACUUUUAAUUUUAAAAUUCAUUGAUUAAUGAAAAAUUGAUCCGUUAUUAACGAUUAAAAAUUUAAGUUACUUUAGGGAUAACAGCGUAAUUUUUUUGGAGAGUUCUUAUCGAUAAAAAAGAUUGCGACCUCGAUGUUGGAUUAAGAGAUAAUUUUAGGUGUAGGUGCUUAAAUUUUAAGUCUGUUCGACUUUUAAAUUCUUACGUG